rnacentral:rRNA from 1 species
GGCGUAGGAAAUUUGAGAGGAGCUGUCCUUAGUACGAGAGGACCGGGAUGGACGCACCGCUGGUGUACCAGUUGUUCUGCCAAGGGCAUAGCUGGGUAGCUAUGCGCGGAAGGGAUAAGUGCUGAAAGCAUCUAAGCAUGAAGCCCCCCUCAAGAUGAGAUUUCCCAUAGCGUAAGCUAGUAAGAUCCCUGAAAGAUGAUCAGGUUGAUAGGUUCGAGGUGGAAGCAUGGUGACAUGUGGAGCUGACGAAUACUAAUAGAUCGAGGACUUAACCAU